GUGCUCGCUUUGGUAGCAUAUAUACUAAAAUUGGAAUGAUACAGAAAAGUUUAGCAUGGCCCCUGCACAAGGAUGACAUGCAGAUUUCCAGUCUUUGCCAUUUGA
ensembl:snRNA U6 U6 spliceosomal RNA